GCCGGGAUAGCUCAGUCGGUAGAGCGACUGAUUCGUAAUCAGUAGGUCGCAGGUUCGAUUCCUGUUCUCGGCACCA
rnacentral:tRNA from 1 species